rnacentral:rRNA from 1 species
GAGUUUGAUUCUGGCUCAGGAUGAACGCUAGCGGGAGGCCUAACACAUGCAAGCCGAGCGGGAUUUGUUGGUUAGCUUGCUAACUAACAAUGAGAGCGGCGUACGGGUGCGUAACACGUGUGCAACCUGCCUUUAUCUGGGGGAUAGCCUUUCGAAAGGAAGAUUAAUAUCCCAUAAUAUAUUGAUUGGCAUCAAUUGAUAUUGAAAGCUCCGGCGGAUAGAGAUGGGCACGCGUAAGAUUAGCUAGUUGGUGAGGUAACGGCUCACCAAGGCUGCGAUCUUUAGGGGGCCUGAGAGGGUGAUCCCCCACACUGGUACUGAGACACGGACCAGACUCCUACGGGAGGCAGCAGUGAGGAAUAUUGGACAAUGGGUGAGAGCCUGAUCCAGCCAUCCCGCGUGAAGGACUAAGGACCUAUGGUUUGUAAACUUCUUUUAUACAGGGAUAAACCUACUCUCGUGAGGGAGCGAAGUA